AGAGGCGGUCAAAAGCAAACGGAUUUAGGAAUCAUUAAAAGAGGGAUAGAGGAUAAAAGCGGAGACUAUCUUAUUGCCCUUAAGAAAUCCAUGGUAUGCCCACCUCUUGC